GAGAGGUGGCCGAGCGGUUUAAGGCGGCGGUCUUGAAAACCGUUGAUGUGCGAGCAUCCGUGGGUUCGAAUCCCACCUUCUCC
rnacentral:tRNA from 1 species